CUGCCUCUCUUUCAGUUGAAGACAACAACAAUGAAUCAAUAGGCAACCACCUUCAACCCAUCCAUCUCUCCCUCUCUUUCGCGUCACAUAGCAGGUAGCAGAAGCAACGACCAGCGUCUCCCAGCGAUGGUAAAGUAGCGACAGCGACGAAACGGCAGAGUUCCUACAACGGCUGUGGUUGGCGUGGCUGGUUCCUCUCUUCCGGCGACCUUCACCUCCCCUUCUCUAGCGAGGGAACAGCUAAGGUGAAGCUUCAGGCAGCAUGGCCUGGUCUCCGACGAGAAAGACCCGUAGGUGAGCUUCUUGUCGACGGCGGCGGUGCAGUAAAGACCCUAUCUUCUGGCGUCGAGUUUCAGCGGCAAAGCAGGGCAGUGGUUGGUCAUCUUCUUCCCGGCAAAGCUUUGGUGAGGUUGGAGAUGGUGUCAGUUCUGGCUGUACAAAGAAGGAGAUGAAGGUUUCCUUUUCAAGUAGUCAGCUUUGGAGUUGAGUCAAGGACCAAGUGUUUGGCAUUUGGAGCAAGUUUAAGGUGGGUCCAGCGUUGAGAGAUGAUCGAGUUAGAUUAGUCUAGUAGACCUAGUAGUCUGGACUCUCUUUAUUAUCAUGAUGUUUAGUUUUAUGGAUUUGUAGACUUUGAUAUUUUGUUCGAUGUUAGA